rnacentral:rRNA from 1 species
UUAAGCGACUAAGCGUACACGGUGGAUGCCCUGGCAGUCAGAGGCGAUGAAGGACGUGCUAAUCUGCGAAAAGCGUCGGUAAGGUGAUAUGAACCGUUAUAACCGGCGAUGUCCGAAUGGGGAAACCCAGUGCAAUUCGUUGCACUAUCGUUAACUGAAUACAUAGGUUAACGAGGCGAACCGGGGGAACUGAAACAUCUAAGUACCCCGAGGAAAAGAAAUCAACCGAGAUUCCCCCAGUAGCGGCGAGCGAACGGGGAGCAGCCCAGAGUCUGAAUCAGCUUGUGUGUUAGUGGAACGGUCUGGAAAGUCCGACGGUACAGGGUGAUAGUCCCGUACACCAAAAUGCACAGGCUGUGAACUCGAAGAGUAGGGCGGGACACGUGGUAUCCUGUCUGAAUAUGGGGGGACCAUCCUCCAAGGCUAAAUACUCCUGACUGACCGAUAGUGAACCAGUACCGUGAGGGAAAGGCGAAAAGAACCCCGGCGAGGGGAGUGAAAAAGAACCUGAAACCGUGUACGUACAAGCAGUGGGAGCACCUUCGGGUGUGACUGCGUACCUUUUGUAUAAUGGGUCAGCGACUUAUAUUCUGUAGCAAGGUUAACCGUAUAGGGGAGCCGCAGGGAAACCGAGUCUUAACUGGGCGUUAAGUUGCAGGGUAUAGACCCGAAACCCGGUGAUCUAGCCAUGGGCAGGUUGAAGGUUGGGUAACACUAACUGGAGGACCGAACCGACUAAUGUUGAAAAAUUAGCGGAUGACUUGUGGCUGGGGGUGAAAGGCCAAUCAAACCGGGAGAUAGCUGGUUCUCCCCGAAAGCUAUUUAGGUAGCGCCUCGUGAAUUCAUCUUCGGGGGUAGAGCACUGUUUCGGCUAGGGGGUCAUCCCGACUUACCAACCCGAUGCAAACUACGAAUACCGAAGAAUGUUAUCACGGGAGACACACGGCGGGUGCUAACGUCCGUCGUGAAGAGGGAAACAACCCAGACCGCCAGCUAAGGUCCCAAAGUCAUGGUUAAGUGGGAAACGAUGUGGGAAGGCACAGACAGCCAGGAUGUUGGCUUAGAAGCAGCCAUCAUUUAAAGAAAGCGUAAUAGCUCACUGGUCGAGUCGGCCUGCGCGGAAGAUGUAACGGGGCUAAACCAUGCACCGAAGCUGCGGCAGCGACACUAUGUGUUGUUGGGUAGGGGAGCGUUCUGUAAGCCUGCGAAGGUGUGCUGUGAGGCAUGCUGGAGGUAUCAGAAGUGCGAAUGCUGACAUAAGUAACGAUAAAGCGGGUGAAAAGCCCGCUCGCCGGAAGACCAAGGGUUCCUGUCCAACGUUAAUCGGGGCAGGGUGAGUCGACCCCUAAGGCGAGGCCGAAAGGCGUAGUCGAUGGGAAACAGGUUAAUAUUCCUGUACUUGGUGUUACUGCGAAGGGGGGACGGAGAAGGCUAUGUUAGCCGGGCGACGGUUGUCCCGGUUUAAGCAUGUAGGCUGGUUGUCCAGGCAAAUCCGGAUAAUCAAGGCUGAGGUGUGAUGACGAGGCACUACGGUGCUGAAGUAACAAAUGCCCUGCUUCCAGGAAAAGCCUCUAAGCAUCAGGUAACAUCAAAUCGUACCCCAAACCGACACAGGUGGUCAGGUAGAGAAUACCAAGGCGCUUGAGAGAACUCGGGUGAAGGAACUAGGCAAAAUGGUGCCGUAACUUCGGGAGAAGGCACGCUGGUGUGUAGGUGAAGCCCCUGCGGGUGGAGCUGAGACCAGUCGAAGAUACCAGCUGGCUGCAACUGUUUAUUAAAAACACAGCACUGUGCAAACACGAAAGUGGACGUAUACGGUGUGACGCCUGCCCGGUGCCGGAAGGUUAAUUGAUGGGGUUAUCCGUAAGGAGAAGCUCUUGAUCGAAGCCCCGGUAAACGGCGGCCGUAACUAUAACGGUCCUAAGGUAGCGAAAUUCCUUGUCGGGUAAGUUCCGACCUGCACGAAUGGCGUAAUGAUGGCCAGGCUGUCUCCACCCGAGACUCAGUGAAAUUGAACUCGCUGUGAAGAUGCAGUGUACCCGCGGCAAGACGGAAAGACCCCGUGAACCUUUACUAUAGCUUGACACUGAACAUUGAGCCUUGAUGUGUAGGAUAGGUGGGAGGCUUUGAAGCGUGGACGCCAGUCUGCGUGGAGCCAACCUUGAAAUACCACCCUUUAAUGUUUGAUGUUCUAACGUUGGCCCCUGACCGGGGUUGCGGACAGUGUCUGGUGGGUAGUUUGACUGGGGCGGUCUCCUCCCAAAGCGUAACGGAGGAGCACGAAGGUUAGCUAAUCCUGGUCGGACAUCAGGAGGUUAGUGCAAUGGCAUAAGCUAGCUUGACUGCGAGCGUGACGGCGCGAGCAGGUGCGAAAGCAGGUCAUAGUGAUCCGGUGGUUCUGAAUGGAAGGGCCAUCGCUCAACGGAUAAAAGGUACUCCGGGGAUAACAGGCUGAUACCGCCCAAGAGUUCAUAUCGACGGCGGUGUUUGGCACCUCGAUGUCGGCUCAUCACAUCCUGGGGCUGAAGUAGGUCCCAAGGGUAUGGCUGUUCGCCAUUUAAAGUGGUACGCGAGCUGGGUUUAGAACGUCGUGAGACAGUUCGGUCCCUAUCUGCCGUGGGCGCUGGAGAAUUGAGGGGGGCUGCUCCUAGUACGAGAGGACCGGAGUGGACGCAUCACUGGUGUUCGGGUUGUCAUGCCAAUGGCACUGCCCGGUAGCUAAAUGCGGAAGAGAUAAGUGCUGAAAGCAUCUAAGCACGAAACUUGCCCCGAGAUGAGUUCUCCCUGAGACUUUAAGUCUCCUGAAGGAACGUUAAAGACGAUGACGUUGAUAGGCCGGGUGUGUAAGCGCAGCGAUGCGUUGAGCUAACCGGUACUAAUGAACCGUGAGGCUUAACCUU